rnacentral:misc_RNA from 1 species
ACGGGGUGACCAGAGCGUCCCCCGGCGUCCGCCGGAGGCAGAGCCGUACUCCUCGCGAGCACGGACCAGCAGCGGUCGGAGYGGGGCCAYAAGGCCGCGGGUACGGUACGUCGGGUCGGGCUUCGGCUCGCUCGACGACUUACAGACCGGCGAGCCGGCGUCCCGCUCUGACCGAGGAAGGAGGGCAGCUCUUGCCCGGUGUGGUGCACGCCGUACGGCGGGGCCUCCCGUCGGGGGCGAGCCGUCCUGUGUGGACUGCNUGCAGUGCUCACGGUGGCGGCGGACCCACGGUCGGUGAGCGUCNCUUGUGCUCC